AUUGAACGCUAGCGGGAUGCUUUACACAUGCAAGUCGAACGGCAGCGCGGACUUCGGUCUGGCGGCGAGUGGCGAACGGGUGAGUAAUGUAUCGGAACGUGCCCAGUAGCGGGGGAUAACUACGCGAAAGCGUAGCUAAUACCGCAUACGCCCUACGGGGGAAAGCAGGGGAUCGUAAGACCUUGCACUAUUGGAGCGGCCGGUAUCGGAUUAGCUAGUUGGUGAGGUAAGGGCUCACCAAGGCGACGAUCCGUAGCUGGUUUGAGAGGACGACCAGCCACACUGGGACGGAGACACGGCCCAGACUCCUACGGGAGGCAGCAGUGGGGAAUUUUGGACAAAGGGGGCAACCCUGAUCCAGCCAUCCCGCGUGUGCGAUGAAGGCCUUCGGGUUGUAAAGCACUUUUGGCAGGAAAGAAACGUCGCGGGCUAAUACCCCGUGGAACUGACGGUACCUGCAGAAUAAGCACCGGCUAACUACGUG
rnacentral:rRNA from 1 species